rnacentral:rRNA from 1 species
CAGUAGCCACGGUAAUAUGUAGGUGGCAAGCGUUGUCCGGAAUUAUUGGGCGUAAAGGGCUCGCAGGCGGUUUCUUAAGUCUGAUGUGAAAGCCCCCGGCUCAACCGGGGAGGGUCAUUGGAAACUGGGAAACUUGAGUGCAGAAGAGGAGAGUGGAAUUCCACGUGUAGCGGUGAAAUGCGUAGAGAUGUGGAGGAACACCAGUGGCGAAGGCGACUCUCUGGUCUGUAACUGACGCUGAGGAGCGAAAGCGUGGGGAGCGAACAGGAUUAGAUACCCGUGUAGUCCCUGUCUCUUAUAC